rnacentral:rRNA from 1 species
UUACGGCCAUACCAUGCUGAAUAUACCGGUUCUCGUUGGAUCACCGAAGUCUAGCAUCAUUGGGCGCGGUCAAUACUUGGGUGGGGACCACCAACCACCUGGGAACACCGCGUGCCGUUG